GUGGUUUCUAGAACUAACUGUUAUUACACCAGUACACACCGUGGUGGUUUCUAGAAACCCUGCUAGUUUACUGGUUAAAAACCAGCUUAGAAACCUUACAUACCAGGUAACCCCAACUAGUUUUAAUGUACACUUACCAGGUAACCCCAACUAGUUUUAAUAUUCACCUACCAGGUAACCCCAACUAGUUUUACUGUACACUUACCAGGUAACCAACUAGUUUUACUGUACACUUACCAGGUAACCAACUAGUUUUACUGUACACUUACCAGGUAACCAACUAGUUUUAAUGUACACUUACUAGGUAACCAACUAGUUUUAAUGUACACUUACCAGGUAGCCAACUAGUUUAAUGUACACUUACCAGGUGACGUCCAGCAGUGUAAAUGGUGCUCUCCUGACGUGCAUCUCCUCUUCCUGUCACCAGCUGUGUUCUCCCUCUCUCCCAAAGUCACAUGGAAACAUAGUUUGAAGUGUUUCCUGUAAUCUUAACCCUUCUCCUCCCUUUCUCCCUUGGUCAAUAUGAAAAUAAAACCCGAUUACAAAUGUA